UUAAUUUAACCAUCAAGAGCCAACAAUCAAUGGCAGCCCAAUUUGGCACAUCCCUAACCGAGGGACAAUCCACAAACCGACCUUCACUUUUUAAUGGGUCAAACUAUACCUAUUGAAAAGCUCGGAUGAGAAUUUUUAUUCAAGUACUUGACUAUGAUAUAUGAAGUAUCAUGGUAAAUGGGCCUCACACACUUACUAAAUUAAUUGAUGGUGUGUCUCUCCCUA
rnacentral:lncRNA from 1 species